UACAGAGGUCUCAAGCGUUGUUCGGAUUCAUUGGGCGUAAAGGGUGCGUAGGUGGCGCCAUAAGUCGGGUGUGAAAUCUCGGGGCUUAACUCCGAAACUGCAUUCGAUACUGCCGUGCUUGAGGACUGGAGAGGAGACUGGAAUUUACGGUGUAGCGGUGAAAUGCGUAGAUAUCGUAAGGAAGACCAGUGGCGAAGGCGGGUCUCUGGACAGUUCCUGACGCUGAGGCACGAAGGCCAGGGGAGCAAACGGG
rnacentral:rRNA from 1 species